GCCGGCCGGUCUGCCGCUUGCGUCCCCAGUGACGUAUGAGGAAAGUCCGGGCAACAUAGGGUAUCCUACUUCCUAACAGAAAGCUGUCCGCAAGGGUAGAGUAACGCAGAAGAAAAUAACCGCCCCGACUUCGGCCGGAGCAAGGGUGAGAAGGUGGGGUAAGAGCCUACCAGCCUUGUGGCGACACAAGGGCUGUGCGUCUUAGGAGUUGUAAGGUCAUGUAAACCGACGUUAAGAGAGCUGCCCGCUCCAUGUCGGAGGGUAGACCGCUACAGUUGAUAUGGUGACAUACGACGUAGAUAAAUGGCAGACACCUUCGCAAGAAGGUACAGAACCCGGCUUACAGGCCGACUGU
rnacentral:RNase_P_RNA from 1 species